AUUUACAACUUGAAUAUGAAUAUUCUAAUGCAACUAAAUACAGAGAAGAUUAGAAUGUCCCUCCUCAAGGUUGACAUGCAUAAAUCAAGAAAUGGUCCAAAUAUUU